rnacentral:tRNA from 1 species
GCUGUGGUAGCUCAGAUUGCAAGGGUGUCUAGUUCCUAACUGGAAGGUCCUGGUUCAAUCCCAGGUAGGGGCA